rnacentral:rRNA from 1 species
UUCUACCCGAUUAAUUCUGAGACAAUAAUUAAAUUCCAAUGAAUCGCAGUCAAGAAUAUUGGACAAUGAACGAAAGUUUGAUCCAGUGAUUUUGAUUAGGUGUUUAAAAUCCAUUUUAAAAUACCUUAAAAUACAAAGAAAAAUGAUCGUUGUAUGUUAAUCUUCUCUAAUCGCGUGCCAGAAGAGUCGGUAAUACGCGAAAGAUGAACGUUACACGAAAAGACUAGGUUUAAAUAGCGAUUAGAAUAAAAUACACCACAAAAACAAAAUUUUGAAGACUCAGAAUUUUUUGAAAAACUGUGUUUUUUGAGUGAAUUAAAUGGAAAUAGAAUGAUUGAUAGUAACGAUAAAAUGUUUUUUUCAAUUGGAAUAUCAUUAUGUGAAGACAAUUUU